rnacentral:rRNA from 1 species
UACAGGGGGGGCAAGCGUUGUUCGGAAUUACUGGGCGUAAAGGGCCAGUAGGCGGCCAACUAAGUCACACGUGAAAUCCCCAGCUUAACCUGGGAACUGCGUGUGAUACUGGAUGGCUUGAAUUCGGGAGGAGGGAUGCAGAAUUCCAGGUGUAGCGGUGAAAUGCGUAGAUAUCUGGAGGAAUACCGGUGGCGAAGGCGGCAUCCUGGACCGACAGUUGACGCUGACGGA